ensembl:lncRNA
UUUAAUUUCCACGCUGGCCCAGGUGAUGUUACCAGCACAGUCUCCUGAAGGGUUGGACUGUGACUCUUCCAGUAUAGAAUCACAAUCACAGAAUGGCCUGGGUUGAAAAGGACCACAAUGCUCAUCCAGUUCCAACCCCCUGCUAUGUGCAGGGUCGCCAACCACCAGCCCAGGCUGCCCAGAGCCACAUCCAGCCUGGCCUUGAAUGCCUCCAGGGAUGGGGCAUCCACAGCCUCCUUGGGCAGUAUAGUUGAUAAGGAGCACUGUCCCAGAAGAUGAUUCACUGCAUAUAACAAAAUCCAGAGGAUCUGGUUAUAAGAUGUAAGUACAGAAGCUCCUAACAAGUGCUUCCGUCCUACUCUUCACCAAACUCCACAGAAAGCCUUUGUGCACAGCUGCGCUAUGUCGGUAUCUCGGCAAUGGCCGCCAGAUCUCGCGAGAGGUGCUGACGGGACGUGGCAUUGCCGGGGCAACGGCGGGAGGUUUAAACGGCGGAACCGCGGACGUGGCGCUCAAUGACCACGGGCAGCUGCUUGGCAGCCGGCGCUGCUGGAACCGCGACGACGCAUUUCGAGGUACCGUGGGGAUUCGGGAGCCUCCUUCCUCCUCCCCGGGAAACCGGGGAGAGGAGAGUGAACGGCAGCAGCCGCCAUCAGCGGGAGAGAGGCUGACGUGGCGCCGGGGCAGCAGUGACCGCACCCACGGCCUUAGAAGGAGCCUCAGGGAGGAGCGGUUGGCGCGUGUGCGUCACGUGUCAUCCCCCCCCAAAAGGGAGCACCUGAGAAUCCCUGAAGCCUCUGACCAAUACAGAAAAUGUUAUGCUGAGGGACAGAGCCAGUAGUUUCAACCAUAGCAGCAGCAGAAGCAAAAGAGAGAACCAGAUUUUGACCGGUCAGAGAGGUGAAGCAUCACCACUGUACAAAUAGGAUCCUCCAGGUUUUUCAAAAGAAGGUAAAAGGAGAGAUGGUGGGAAGCUGAUUUGCACUGGGGAGGCUGG